AGUGAACGCUGGCGGUAGGCCUAACACAUGCAAGUCGAACGGCAGCACAGUAAGCGCUUGCUCUUACUGUUGGCGAGUGGCGGACGGGUGAGGAAUACAUCGGAAUCUACUUUUUCGUGGGGGAUAACGUAGGGAAACUUCCGCUACUACCGCAUACGACCUACGGGUGAAAGCAGGGGAUCUUCGGACCUUGCGCGAUUGAAUGAGCCGAUGUCGGAUUAGCUAGUUGGCGGGGUAAAGGCCCACCAAGGCGACGAUCCGUAGCUGGUCUGAGAGGAUGAUCAGCCACACUGGAACUGAGACACGGUCCAGACUCCUACGGGAGGCAGCAGUGGGGAAUAUUGGACAAUGGGCGCAAGCCUGAUCCAGCCAUACCGCGUGGGUGAAGAAGGCCUUCGGGUUGUAAAGCCCUUUUGUUGGGAAAGAAAAGCAGCAUGUUAAUACCCCGCUGUUCUGACGGUACCCAAAGAAUAAGCACCGGCUAACUUCGUG
rnacentral:rRNA from 1 species